rnacentral:rRNA from 1 species
GAACGGCAGCACGGGAGCAAUCCUGGUGGCGAGUGGCGAACGGGUGAGUAAUGUAUCGGAACGUACCUUUCAGUGGGGGAUAACGUAGCGAAAGUUACGCUAAUACCGCAUAUUCUGUGAGCAGGAAAGCAGGGGAUCGCAAGACCUUGCGCUGAUUGAGCGGCCGAUAUCAGAUUAGCUAGUUGGUGAGGUAAAGGCUCACCAAGGCGACGAUCUGUAGCGGGUCUGAGAGGAUGAUCCGCCACACUGGAACUGAGACACGGUCCAGACUCCUACGGGAGGCAGCAGUGGGGAAUUUUGGACAAUGGGGGCAACCCUGAUCCAGCCAUGCCGCGUGAGUGAAGAAGGCCUUCGGGUUGUAAAGCUCUUUCGGCCGGGAAGAAAUCGCAUAGGUUAAUACCCUGUGUGGAUGACGGUACCGGAAUAAGAAGCACCGGCUAACUACGUGCCAGCAGCCGCGGUAAUACGUAGGGUGCGAGCGUUAAUCGGAAUUACUGGGCGUAAAGCGUGCGCAGGCGGUUUCGUAAGACAGAGGUGAAAUCCCCGGGCUCAACCUGGGAACUGCCUUUGUGACUGCGAAGCUAGAGUACGGCAGAGGGGGGUGGAAUUCCACGUGUAGCAGUGAAAUGCGUAGAGAUGUGGAGGAACACCAAUGGCGAAGGCAGCCCCCUGGGUCGAUACUGACGCUCAUGCACGAAAGCGUGGGUAGCAAACAGGAUUAGAUACCCUGGUAGUCCACGCCCUAAACGAUGUCAACUAGGUGUUGGGUGGGUAAAACCAUUUAGUACCGGAGCUAACGCGUGAAGUUGACCGCCUGGGGAGUACGGCCGCAAGGUUAAAACUCAAAGGAAUUGACGGGGACCCGCACAAGCGGUGGAUGAUGUGGAUUAAUUCGAUGCAACGCGAAAAACCUUACCUACCCUUGACAUGUCCAGAAGCCCGAAGAGAUUUGGGUGUGCCCGAAAGGGAGCUGGAACACAGGUGCUGCAUGGCUGUCGUCAGCUCGUGUCGUGAGAUGUUGGGUUAAGUCCCGCAACGAGCGCAACCCUUGUCGUUAAUUGCCAUCAUUUAGUUGGGCACUUUAACGAGACUGCCGGUGACAAACCGGAGGAAGGUGGGGAUGACGUCAAGUCCUCAUGGCCCUUAUGGGUAGGGCUUCACACGUCAUACAAUGGUCGGUACAGAGGGUUGCCAAGCCGCGAGGUGGAGCCAAUCCCAGAAAGCCGAUCGUAGUCCGGAUCGUAGGCUGCAACUCGCCUGCGUGAAGUCGGAAUCGCUAGUAAUCGCGGAUCAGCAUGUCGCGGUGAAUACGUUCCCGGGUCUUGUACACACCGCCCGUCACACCAUGGGAGCGGGUUCCGCCAGAAGUAGGUAGCCUAACCGCAAGGGGGGCGCUACCACG